rnacentral:rRNA from 1 species
CUGGACCUAGCCCAAAACAAACGCAACUCAACUAUAAACUCACCCUAAAACAAAACAUUCAUACACCUCAAAAGUAUAGGAGAUAGAAAUUCUAAUUGGCGCUAUAGAAAAAGUACCGCAAGGGAACAAUGAAAGAAAAAUUCCAAAGCAAUAAACAGCAAAGAUUACCCCUUGUACCUUUUGCAUCAUGAUUUAACUAGAAUAAUUUAGCAAAGAGAACUUAAGUUAAACCCCCCGAAACCAGACGAGCUACUUGCGAGCAGCCUUACAGAGCAAACUCAUCUAUGUAGCAAAAUAGUGAAAAGACUUACAAGUAGUGGUGAAAAGCCUACCGAGCCUGGUGAUAGCUGGUUAUCCAGUAAAAGAAUGUUAGUUCAAGCUUAAGCCUACCUAUAAAACCCACAAUUUAACUGUAGGCUUAAAGCAUAGUCUAAAGGGGGACAACCCUUUAGACGCAGGUUACAACCUUGACUAGAGAGUAAGUAUAUAAAUAGACCAUAGUUGGCCUAAAAGCAGCCAUCAAUAAAGAAAGCGUUCAAGCUCAACAACUUAAUCACCCUAAUCUCAAUAGUAAAUACCAACUCCUAGUUCCAACUUACUGGAUCAUUCUAUAACUAUAUAGAAGAGAUACUGUUAAUAUGAGUAACAAGAAAAAUUUUCUCCCCCGCACAAGCCUAUAUCAGAACGGAUGCCCACUGAUAGUUAACACAUGUAAAGCCAAAACCAAUAACAAGCCCUUUACCACAGACCGUUAACCCGACACAGGAGUGCUAUCAGGGAAAGAUUAAAAGGAGUAAAAGGAACUCGGCAAACACAAACCUCGCCUGUUUACCAAAAACAUCACCUCUAGCAUUACUAGUAUUAGAGGCACUGCCUGCCCAGUGACAUACGUUCAACGGCCGCGGUAUCCUGACCGUGCAAAGGUAGCAUAAUCACUUGUUCUCUAAAUAGGGACUUGAAUGAAUGGCCACACGAGGGUUUUACUGUCUCUUACUCCCAAUCAGUGAAAUUGACCUCCCCGUGAAGAGGCGGGGAUAUUCUAAUAAGACGAGAAGACCCUAUGGAGCUUUAAUUAAUUAGUCCAAGAGCCCAUCAAUAAACACCAACAGGCAUAAAACAACCUCAAAUGGACUAACAAUUUAGGUUGGGGUGACCUCGGAGUAUAAUAUACCCUCCGAGCAAUUACUAAGCCUAGACCUACCAGUCAAAGCCACAUUGCCCACUGAUCCAAAACCACUUUGAUCAACGGAACAAGUUACCCUAGGGAUAACAGCGCAAUCCUAUUUAAGAGUCCAUAUCGACAAUAGGGUUUACGACCUCGAUGUUGGAUCAGGACAUCCCAAUGGUGCAGCAGCUAUUAACGGUUCGUUUGUUCAACGAUUAAAGUCCUACGUGAUCUGAGUUCAGACCGGAGUAAUCCAGGUCGGUUUCUAUCUAUUUUAUGCCUCUCCCAGUACGAAAGGACAAGAGAGACAAGGCCUCCUUAAAACCUAAGCGCCUUCUAGCUAAACAAAUGACCCAGCCUCAAUUUGACACGCAAUAAACAUUACGCCCCGAGACCAGGGCUU